CCGUCAUGGCUGCCACUAUAAUCCUGGUGUAAUCUCAGCAGUCGUGUCAUCUCAGUGCAACGGCGGCAUAUAGCAGAGAGCCACUUCCCGCUGCUCAUUGGUUGUUGACCAAACCCACAAUCCUGCACCAGCUCACUGGACCCGGAUUUAGAUCAUGCCCCCCUGUGUGGGAGUUUUUGGCUCCCUGUUUCUGGAUCAGAGGAACAAACUGUGACCGUCCUGCUCGUUAGUUUGUGUCGCCUCACUGAGUCUGAAGCUGCUGAUCAUCACCAAGGUCAUAACCUCGGAGUCCGGGGCACUGUCAGGGUGAAAAAACACAAACUCUGUUGUGCAAACCACGAACUCGACUCAAUCUGAGUCUCAUCCUCAUCAGCACUGUCAGAAAUCCAAGCAGUUUGAGAGAGAGGAAGGCAUUGCUUCUCUUCCAGUCAGAGGAUCAGUAACAGACUUCAAUAUAUUCAAAGCUCUGAAAAUAACAGGCGCUGUGUCAGAGAGAUCUUAGGGGGGGGAAACUUCCUAAAACCUGAACAAACUGAGUCUCAAAGUUUCACUUAAAAACAGCCAACUGCUGUGAAAGACGCUCGUCCAGCAUCCAAGGAGGCGAGUGGGAAGUGAGAGCAGAAAAGGAAAUAAAAAAGAGUGUGAGGGCACCGCAUGAAGGUGUGUGUGUGUGUGUGUAUGUGUGUGUGUGUGUGUUCUCAGAACCAAAGGAGAAGCAACAAUGUGGUGACACGGUCAACACAACUCGUGAAACAAAGUGUCAGCAGAUUACGGCAAAGGGAACUCAAGGACGACGCAAAAAGAGGAAACUGGUGCAAGGACGGUUUUCUGCUGCUUACCUGCUGGUGUAGACGUGCUCACACACACAAAGCGUCAAGAAAAAGACAGAGUGUUCCACGGAGCAGCAAAUGUACUAACAGUCAUUCAAUAAAUAGUUGUGUCUGCCUG